GACGAACGCUGGCGGCGGGCUUAACACAUGCAAGUCGAACGGCAACGCGCGGCUUGUGUGGGGUGCUUGAGGGGCGAACGGGUGCGUAACACGAGAGUAUCCUCCCCUUGCCCUUGACAUAACUUUAGGCAACUGGGGCUAAUACCGGAUCGGAGCUCCUGCUGUUUGGGGGGGGUGGGAAAGUCUCGGCGGUUGGGGAUGGACUUGCGGCUUAUCAGCUUGUUGGUUGGGUAGUGGCUUAACAAGGCUUUGACGGGUAGCCGGCCUGAGAGGGUGACCGGCCACCUUGCGACUGAGCUACGGCCCAGACUCCUACGGGAGGCAGGAGUGGGGAAUAUUGCACGAUGGGCGGAAGCCUGAUGCAGCAACGCCGCGUGCGGGAUGGCGGCCUGCGGGUUGUCAACCGCUUUGGCCUGUGACGAAGCGUUAUUGACGGUAAUGGGUAAAGAAGCACCGGCUAACUACGUG
rnacentral:rRNA from 1 species